CCUACGGGUGGCAGCAGUGAGGAAUAUUGGUCAAUGGACGAGAGUCUGAACCAGCCAAGUAGCGUGAAGGAUAACUGCCCUAUGGGUUGUAAACUUCUUUUAUAAAGGAAUAAAACGAGGCACGUGUGCCUUUUUGCAUGUACUUUAUGAAUAAGGAUCGGCUAACUCCGUGCCAGCAGCCGCGGUAAUACGGAGGAUCCGAGCGUUAUCCGGAUUUAUGGGGUUUAAAGGGAGCGUAGAGGGGUUGUUAAGUCAGUUGUGAAAGUUUGCGGCUCAACCGUAAAAUUUCAAUUGUUACUGGCAGUCUUUCGUACAGUUGCGGUAAUCCGCAUUCGUGGUGUAGCGG
rnacentral:rRNA from 1 species